rnacentral:rRNA from 1 species
UGCCAGCAGCCGCGGUAAUACGGAAGGUGCAAGCGUUAACCGGAUUUACUGGGCGUAAAGAGUGCGUAGGCUGGAAGAUCAGUCAGAUGUGAAAUUCCGAUACUCAAUAUCGGAGCUGCAUUUGAUACUGUCUUUCUAGAGAGUGGGAGGAGAAAGCGGAAUUCCGUAUGUAGCGGUGGAAUGCGUAGAUAUACGGAAGAACACCUGUGGCGAAAGCGGCUUUCUAUCUUACUUCUGACGCUGAGGCACGAAAGCGUGGGGAGCAAACAGGAUUAGAUA